UUGUUUUUUGUUUGUUUGCUUGUUUUGUGCUUUGCUGCCUCUCUCCUCCUUCCCUGUGCUCCCCAGUUUUCUUUCCCAUUUUCCCUUUACAAAACAGUGACAGGAUAAAGUUUUAGGCAACUUAUUUACUCUAUUUUUUCUUCUCUUCCUUGGGCUUCUGUGUGCUGGUGUCACAAAGGUAAGCCACCAGGCCUAGAAACAGUGCUUUUUGCAAAACAGCCCCUGUGGGUUGUGACUCGUGUGCCAAUGGAUGUUUGCAAAUGGAGUCCGGGAAGGGAGAGACACUCGUCUAUUCUACGUGACACACAGCUUUGGAUUAAAAACCAGCAGGUUCUACAAGGAGCGGAAGAGGCGUGCAGACACAGCGUGACCACAGUGGAUGAGCUGACCCCUUUCUCCCAAGUCUCUUCAAUCUUUAGCUUCGUGGAAGGGGGAGGAAGAGUGCUUCCUUGUGAAGAACGAGACACAAGAAAGAAAAGGAGCAGACUUCUCCAACCCCUCAUUUACGCCGGAGCUUAAAAAGAAGGUCAUGUACGGUUCAUCGGAGCGGUUGUACCUUCGAUGUGCCGUUUUCUCGCUUCUCCCUUUCUGCUCAAAUGUAUUUCCUCUUCAUUUCUAAGGGAAUCGAUCCAUGGAAGGGCCAGCUGCCUGCCGUCCUUCUUCAAGCAGGUCCUGGUUAACGGGAGCUCUAGGCACCUCUGCUCCCACUGACUCGACUGCACAAGACAACAGAGUGCUCCUCACUCUUGUACGAUUUGCUGCUCCCCUCUGACUCGUUAGAGCCUACCCCUGUGCUCCAGGAGCACCCAGUUGGGUCUGCAAGCUCUAAAGCAUUCAAGAGGAAGGUGGGCCCACCCACCCCUCACAAAGACCUCUUUUGAGAAAGGUGGACUGAAAUAUGGGGUGGUUAUCAGCAGUGAGAUGACAGAGUGGUAAACGCUUGUCUCCCAGGUUCCGCUGGAAUGCUUAGUGGUGGACCCCCUGGGGGUGGGGGUGUCCGGAUGCUUAUGCUCUUAGCCCAGAGUUGGUUCUAGAGUUACCCAGCCACCAUCAGUCAUCUUGAAAGACUUUUCUUCUGUACAAUCAAAAUUCUUACUCUACAGCUGUUUUCUACAUACAGUAAGGGCUAUGGGAACAUGCGUGUGCAUCUAUCCAUGUACAUUUUUUCACUUGACCCUCAAAUAUAAGGGCAGAAUGUGCCAUAAUAAAUUCAUGUACAAAAAAGGCA